rnacentral:rRNA from 1 species
CGGCCGCGAAUUCGCCCUUGUGCCAGCCGCCGCGGUAAUACGAAGGGACCUAGCGUAGUUCGGAAUUACUGGGCUUAAAGAGUUCGUAGGUGGUUAAAAAAGUUGGUGGUGAAAUCCCAGAGCUUAACUCUGGAACUGCCAUCAAAACUUUUUAGCUAGAGUAUGAUAGAGGAAAGCAGAAUUUCUAGUGUAGAGGUGAAAUUCGUAGAUAUUAGAAAGAAUACCAAUUGCGAAGGCAGCUUUCUGGAUCAUUACUGACACUGAGGAACGAAAGCAUGGGUAGCGAAGAGGAUUAGAUACCCUCGUAGUCCACGCCGUAGACGAUGUGUGUUAGAUGUUGGAAAUUUAUUUUCAGUAUCGCAGCGAAAGCAAUAAACACACCGCCUGGGGAGUACGACCGCAAGGUUAAAACUCAAAUGAAUUGACGGGGACCCGCACAAGUAGUGGAGCAUGUGGUUUAAUUCGAAGAUACGCGCAGAACCUUACCAACACUUGACAUGUUCGUUUCGACUCUAAGAGAUUAGAGUUUUCGGUUCGGCCGGACGAAACACAGGUGCUGCAUGGCUGUCGUCAGCUCGUGUCGUGAGAUGUUGGGUUAAGUCCCGCAACGAGCGCAACCCUUACUUUUAGUUGCCAUCAUUUAGUUGGGCACUCUGAAAGAACUGCCAGUGAUAAGCUGGAGGAAGGUGGGGAUGACGUCAAGUCCUCAUGGCCCUUAUGUGUUGGGCUACACACGUGCUACAAUGGCAUUUACAAUAGGAAGCAAGAUGGCGACAUUAAGCAAAUCCUAAAAAAAUGCCCUAGUUCGGAUUGUACUCUGCAACUCGAGUACAUGAAGCUGGAAUUACUAGUAAUCGUGGAUCAGCGUGCCACGGUGAAUACGUUCCCGGGUCUUGUACACACCGCCCGUC